rnacentral:piRNA from 1 species
CUGGAAGCAUGGGGANCCCUUCGCUCUCAGC